rnacentral:lncRNA from 10 species
CCCAGGCAUCUUUAGGCCUCAGAAUAUUCUUCUUUAUUUGACAUGAGGUCUAAACCCUAGCAUGUUGUUUUCUCUUGAAAUUUGAAGUAAUUUCUACCACAAGAGAAAUUACGUUUGCAAAGGUUCAAGUAAAGUAUAUUAUAAAGCAUGAAACUAAACACUUUGGUGUGACACAUUUCUGGACUUGGAAGUCAGAGAAGACAGACUUAUUUAAGCUACUCGAAUUAUCUAGAAGAAAAAAGAAACUCAAAUUAUCUAUAACAGAACAGAUGCUGGGGAAUCUAAGAAGACUGGAUGUUGAUGUUCUCCUUAGCUUUGUUUUAUGAAGGAAGGGAAUGUGUUCUGUUAAGAGUGGAAUGUUCUCCGGAAGAACUGGAAAAGGUAUCAGUGGGCUAUGUUCAGGUCCAGAGACAAAAGAGCUGUCAACUUAAACUAACCUGUGCGGUGCCUCAGCUCCUGGACUUACUGGUUGAUGCAACCUUAGGGAAAGCCUGUGUGCAUCAAUUUCCUCAUCUUUAAAGUUAGAAUCACAGCAUCUACCUCAUAGGGUUGUGAGGAAAACUAAAUUAGCUAGUGGCCAAGAAAAUGCUGUGUAUACUAAAAAUCACUACAAAAUAUGUAGACUAUAUAUAUAGCUUGAUAAUUUUUAAAGUUUACUGCUCUGGGCAAGGGAUGGAGGAGUGAGUUAAAAAGGAACACAGUGUCAGACACAGCAACAGGCAGGUGGCCAGGUUUCUGUAGGCAGAAGAGGAUGGAGAGCUCAGGAGUGCAUACUAAUUGCUGCACCUCUGCUGAGACUACUGGCCAAAUGGCUGCCUACCAGAAAACACAGUGUCCCUUUCCAUAUUAAAGGGCCUCUCCUAACUGGGCUUUCAGCUGCAUACAAAACUACGUGGAGUUCUCCAUGCAUCUGAUGGUGCCAUUAUGAAGAUGAACUGUUAACUAAAUUGCUUUGGUGGAAUAUGUAUGCUAGGGAAGAGAGCGUGCUGGCCCUUCUCAAAGUGUCCCAUGAAAAAGUUAUUCCACACCUCCUCCCUGACCUUGUCGUGCAGACGCUUCCAGGAUGAACUCCAACUCGCCGAGCCACCGCAGCUCCUCAGCUGACUAAAAGAGUUAAUGAUCCUCCAGGUUAAAACUCCUCCUUGAGCACACACCUUCUCUCAACAAAUGACAAUACUUGGCAAACUGAACUCCUCCCACGAGUCGCCCUCUGCUAGGAGGAAUUGCUGGCUGCUCCCUGCUUAUUGCAUUCUCUCAGAGCAGCUGUCUCAAAGGAGGCUGCUCCCAUGCCGAUCUUUUUGUGCCCAACUUACAGGGAAAGAACUCAUUGCCUGCCCAGUGCCUGCCAGCCUCAGACUUCUGACUGCAAAUCCAACAGGACAAUACAGAGUUGGCAGGACCCUUCUCAGGAGUGAGGAGCGGGUGCAAGAACUCCCAGGUCACUGCUUUAUUCAGAGGACCUAAGGAAUUGGGUUGAGCGGAAGCGCACAGAGCUGCAGAUUUUCUUUGAUGAAUGAAAGCUUCAAUCCACAGGUUUCUAAUAGUACUCUCAUUCAUUUUGCUUACAAAAGGUACAGAUUAUCACUAAUCCUCUUCAAAAGGUAUUUGUAAUCACAUUUCCUUGUAUAUGCAAAAAAAAUUCUAUUUAAAGUGUAUGUGAAAUUAAGUUUACUUUUUUGAAACACAUGUAGAAAAAGAACAAAGGUAUCAUCAAACUAGUCUAUGUAGUCUCCUUUCACUAAAAUAUUGAUGGUUCAACACUUAAGGAAGUCUAGAAAUAAAAUAUUCAAAUGACUAUAUGGCCAGACUCUUUUUUAAUUUGUUUACACAUUUAUUCAAUAAACAGUGCCUGAGCACAGGGACUACCUAAAAAAGUUAAGUCAUAUUUGCUACCCUCGUGUUGAUGUAAGGAUUCAAACAUCCAAACAAAUAUGAUAGAAAGUGGAUUGUUAUUAUAAGAGAUGGAACAGAAGUCUAAGAAAACUGUCAGAAGUCCCAAUGUGGUGUAGAGAAACACACCCCUACCCUAGCUCUGGCAAAAUACCUGUAUUCCAGCUGCUUGUCUGCACUGGCCUUGCUGUGUGAUCAUUUAACUAUAGGAACCGGCUCUUCUCAUCUGGUACCGCCCGACAGGACUUUUGAGAGAAUGGAAUGAGAUCAUUGUGAAAGUACAUUGUACAGCACUGAUCAAGUGCUGUUAGGAUUAUUAAACUAAAUGUGCAUUUGAACAGUAGGUGUUAGGACAUAGUGGCUAAGGGCAUAUACACUAAAUUUGGAAGGCCUGAGUUCAAAUUUGGACUGUACUAGGUGGUCGUUGUGCUACCUUGGGAUAUAACAAGUUAUACAAACUCCAUUCUCCUCUAUUUCCUCACAUGUAACAUAAAGAUGAUGAUAAUAGAACCUACGUCCUAAAACAGACUUUUAAGAAAGAGUGCCUGGGAAAUAAUAGGUGUUCCACAAAAGAUAGUUAUUUUUACCUUCACCAUGUCCACUGUCUGUCCCUCAAGCUACAUUGGCAAUGAUAUCUCCAACCUGACCCAAAUAACCCUAAUGUGACCAAGAUCAAUGUGUGCAUGUGUGUGUGUGUAUAUGUUGUAUGUGUAAAACCUUGAGCAAAUAGUGAAGUAUAGGAUAAACAUAAAAAGUAAGCUAAGUAAACCCAUUGUAAUAGUAAUUACAAAAUAUAUAUGUACGUGUGUG